rnacentral:rRNA from 1 species
AUUCGGAGGGUGCAAGCGUUAAUCGGAAUUACUGGGCGUAAAGCGUACGUAGGCGGUUCGUUAAGUUAGAUGUGAAAGCCCCGGGCUUAACCUGGGAACUGCAUUUAAAACUGGCGAACUAGAGUUAAGUAGAGGGGAGUGGAAUUUCAGGUGUAGCGGUGAAAUGCGUAGAGAUCUGAAGGAACACCAGUGGCGAAGGCGACUCCCUGGACUUGAACUGACGCUGAGGUACGAAAGCGUGGGUAGCAAACGGGAUUAGAUACCCCAGUAGUCC